ACAAGAAAGAAAAAGAAAAAGAAGAUAUACAAAAGCACAUCUUAAUUGCUUAAGCCUCAAACUCAGCUAAGUUGCAACAUAUAUCACUUCCCACUUGCUGUUUUUCGCUUUCCUUCUAAGGCAGCCGCUCUACCCGUCUUUGUAGAAGGUGUGAUUUACUCCCUAGANNNNNNNNNNNGCUCUUCCCGUCUUUGAAGAAGGUGAGAUUAACCCACUAGAAAGUCUCCUGGUUGGUGGUGGAGGAAUCAAACUCCUGCAUUGAUUUACAUAGGAACAGGUUAGUCAUAAAGUGAUCAGUAAAAAUGUGGAUGAGCACCACAGUGCAUUGUUAGUUCAUUUCACAUAGUUGGCCUAUAGAAAAGUUCAUUUGCUAAAGGAUUAUUGUUGUUGCAGAGCUAAUAAACAGAUAAAAGCGUUCUGCUGAAUCAGUUUAAGCUUUUAGGUGAACACAAAAACUUCUAUAGACAAUGGAUGAUGAUAUAAGCAGCUCCUCAGAUAAGGCAUGCCCAAAAAUAACAAGUUAAAUGCACUCGUCAGCUAUGAU
rnacentral:lncRNA from 1 species